rnacentral:rRNA from 1 species
UCCGUAGGUGAACCUGCGGAAGGAUCAUUACCGAGUGCGGGCCCUCUGGGUCCAACCUCCCAUCCGUGUCUAUCUGUACCCUGUUGCUUCGGCGUGGCCACGGCCCGCCGGAGACUAACAUUUGAACGCUGUCUGAAGUUUGCAGUCUGAGUUUUUAGUUAAACAAUCGUUAAAACUUUCAACAACGGAUCUCUUGGUUCCGGCAUCGAUGAAGAACGCAGCGAAAUGCGAUAAUUAAUGUGAAUUGCAGAAUUCAGUGAAUCAUCGAGUCUUUGAACGCACAUUGCGCCCCCUGGUAUUCCGGGGGGCAUGCCUGUCCGAGCGUCAUUGCUGCCCUCAAGCACGGCUUGUGUGUUGGGCUUCCGUCCCUGGCAACGGGGACGGGCCCAAAAGGCAGUGGCGGCACCAUGUCUGGUCCUCGAGCGUAUGGGGCUUUGUCACCCGCUCCCGUAGGUCCAGCUGGCAGCUAGCCUCGCAACCAAUCUUUUUAACCAGGUUGACCUCGGAUCAGGUAGGGAUACCCGCUGAACUUAAGCAUAUCAAUAAGCGGAGGAAAAGAAACCAACAGGGAUUGCCCCAGUAACG